rnacentral:lncRNA from 1 species
UCAAUUUUGCAUCAAAGGCACCAAGCCGCACAACCAUCUUCCAAAUCUAACGUAAUAAGAAAAUCGUUAUCAAGUCUCAACUUGCACUUCGAAUAAAUCGAAUAAAUAUUCAUAUUUCAAAUUGCAUUUAGAACAUCAAAACUUGGAUGUAUACCAUCCAGAUUCCAUAUGAAUGUUUUGUUAUAGAAAUAGUUUAAACAUAAGCACCAAUAUGAUAAGUGUUUAUAGCAUAAACUCUUAAUUAAAUUGUUUAUCAAAGCAGGGCCUAAAUAAAACGCAGAUUUAAGGAAAAAGCAACAAAACUAGAACCUUUACAAUUCGAAUCGAGAGUAUGUGAAUCGAGACACACCUUAGCAGCAACGUCGUCGUUUAAUGGUUGAUCACAAAUUGCAAGGGCUUAGAAUUCUUUUCCAUUUCUACAUUUCUCUUUCAAACCGAAUCAAGAUUUUUAGGAUUCAUAAACAUGAAACCCUAAAAUGACGAUACAGAAUCUUCAAAUAAUUUUUUUAGGGUUAUGAGAUAUCAAGAUUCACGAAGAACGAAUCAGUUAACAGAGAAGAAAUUGGGUAGCGGCAAUGAGACAUUGUGGGUUUAGGGUUGAAUCGAAUCGAUUGGAUGAUGAAUUAGAAAGAAAUUGAAUUCGGAAUUGGAAAGAUUGAAAACGGUAACAAAGACAAAGCCAUAAACCUGAUCAUGAAUCGUAGUGUGC